AUUGAACGCUGGCGGCAGGCCUAACACAUGCAAGUCGAACGAGUGGCAGACGUGUGAGUAAUGUCUGGGAAACUGCCUGAUGGAGGGGGAUAACUACUGGAAACGAUAGCUAAUACCACAUACCCACAUAUGUGCCCAGAUGGGAUUAGCUUGUGGGUGGGGUAACGGCUCACAGGGGCGACGAUCCCUAGCUGGUCUGAGAGGAUGACCAGCCACACUGGAACUGAGACACGGUCCAGACUCCUACGGGAGGCAGCAGUGGGGAAUAUUGCACAAUGGGCGCAAGCCUGAUGCAGCCAUGCCGCGUGUAUGAAGAAGGCCUUCGGGUUGUAAAGUACUUUCAGCGGGGAGGCGUUACCCGCAGAAGAAGCACCGGCUAACUCCGUGCCAGCAGCCGCGGUAAUUC
rnacentral:rRNA from 1 species